rnacentral:rRNA from 1 species
AGUGAACGCUGGCGGUAGGCCUAACACAUGCAAGUCGAGCGGCAGCACAGUAAGAGCUUGCUCUUACGGGUGGCGAGUGGCGGACGGGUGAGGAAUACAUCGGAAUCUACUUUUUCGUGGGGGAUAACGUAGGGAAACUUACGCUAAUACCGCAUACGACCUACGGGUGAAAGCAGGGGAUCUUCGGACCUUGCGCGAUUGAAUGAGCCGAUGUCGGAUUAGCUAGUUGGCGGGGUAAAGGCCCACCAAGGCGACGAUCCGUAGCUGGUCUGAGAGGAUGAUCAGCCACACUGGAACUGAGACACGGUCCAGACUCCUACGGGAGGCAGCAGUGGGGAAUAUUGGACAAUGGGCGCAAGCCUGAUCCAGCCAUACCGCGUGGGUGAAGAAGGCCUUCGGGUUGUAAAGCCCUUUUGUUGGGAAAGAAAAGCAGCAGGUUAAUACCCCGCUGUUCUGACGGUACACAAAGAAUAAGCACCGGCUAACUUCGUG